GACGAACGCUGGCGGCGUGCCUAAUACAUGCGAGUCGAGCGGACCAAAGGGAGCUUGCUCCUGGAGGUUAGCGGCGAACGGGUGAGUAACACGUGGGCAACCUGCCUGUAAGACUGGGAUAACAUCGAGAAAUCGGUGCUAAUACCGGAUAAUAAAAAGAACUGCAUGGUUCUUUUUUGAAAGAUGGUUUCGGCUAUCACUUACAGAUGGGCCCGCGGCGCAUUAGCUAGUUGGUGAGGUAACGGCUCACCAAGGCAACGAUGCGUAGCCGACCUGAGAGGGUGAUCGGCCACACUGGGACUGAGACACGGCCCAGACUCCUACGGGAGGCAGCAGUAGGGAAUCUUCCGCAAUGGACGAAAGUCUGACGGAGCAACGCCGCGUGAGUGAUGAAGGUUUUCGGAUCGUAAAACUCUGUUGUUAGGGAAGAACAAGUGCCGUUCGAAAGGGCGGCACCUUGACGGUACCUAACGAGAAAGCCACGGCUAACUACGUG
rnacentral:rRNA from 1 species